CGGACGGGUGAGUAAUGUCUGGGAAACUGCCUGAUGGAGGGGGAUAACUACUGGAAACGGUAGCUAAUACCGCAUAACGUCGCAAGACCAAAGAGGGGGACCUUCGGGCCUCUUGCCAUCGGAUGUGCCCAAAUGGGAUUAGCUAGUAGGUGGGGUAACGGCUCACCUAGGCGACGAUCCCUAGCUGGUCUGAGAGGAUGACCAGCCACACUGGAACUGAGACACGGUCCAG
rnacentral:rRNA from 1 species